GAUGAACGCUGGCGGCGUGCCUAAUACAUGCAAGUCGAGCGAACGGACGAGAAGCUUGCUUCUCUGAUGUUAGCGGCGGACGGGUGAGUAACACGUGGAUAACCUACCUAUAAGACUGGGAUAACUUCGGGAAACCGGAGCUAAUACCGGAUAAUAUUUUGAACCGCAUGGUUCAAAAGUGAAAGACGGUCUUGCUGUCACUUAUAGAUGGAUCCGCGCUGCAUUAGCUAGUUGGUAAGGUAACGGCUUACCAAGGCAACGAUGCAUAGCCGACCUGAGAGGGUGAUCGGCCACACUGGAACUGAGACACGGUCCAGACUCCUACGGGAGGCAGCAGUAGGGAAUCUUCCGCAAUGGGCGAAAGCCUGACGGAGCAACGCCGCGUGAGUGAUGAAGGUCUUCGGAUCGUAAAACUCUGUUAUUAGGGAAGAACAUAAGUGUAAGUAACUGUGCACAUCUUGACGGUACCUAAUCAGAAAGCCACGGCUAACUACGU
rnacentral:rRNA from 1 species